UAAAUAAAUAAAUAAAUAAAAUUUAAAAAAGGAAAAAAAAGAGUUAAGUAAUUAUAUUAAAAAAAAAAGCAACUGAAGAAUAAGAAAUUAUUGUUGCGAUAAAAAUAUAAGAAUAAUAGUUUUACAGGUUUACUGAUUUAGGGAUAAACCAUAAUAAUAGAAUAUUUUCAACCGUUUUUAUUUUUAAUUUUGCCAUCACAAUUAUGUCCCUAGCUUCAAAAAUCAUAACAGUAUAAUAUAAAAAAGAUAAAAGGUCAAAACAUAUCAUAGAAAAAUUUAGGAAUAAACGCUAAACUUAUAUUUUAAAUAUUUAAUUUUAAAUAUUUUAGAAAAAAUAAGUUGCCACGUCUCUGGUUAAAAUGAUUCUAUAAUUUUUGUUUAAAUUUAAUCUUUGAAAAUUUUAUUUUAAUUAUCCAAUUUUUCAAUAUAUUAGAUUUGAGUCAGUCGAUGGUACUUUGACUUUAAAAAUUUGAAUGCAUCGUUUAGUUCUAUAGAUUUAGAUGGUAUAUUUUAUACAAUUCUCGCAACUAAAAUUUUAUAAAAUAUAAAAUUAACGUAAACGCCAUCAAUCUUUCUUUUAUUUUUUAAUGUACAAUCUAUAUCUAAAUUCUCAAAAGUAUAAAAUUAAAAUUUAUAUUUAAUACAAACAAUUUAUAUUAUUUAAAAUUUAUUUAUAUAUUUUAAAUAUUUAUAGUAAAAAAUAAAAAAUU
rnacentral:lncRNA from 1 species